rnacentral:rRNA from 2 species
GUUGGCUUAGAAGCAGCCAUCAUUUAAAGAAAGCGUAAUAGCUCACUGGUCGAGUCGGCCUGCGCGGAAGAUGUAACGGGGCUAAACCAUGCACCGAAGCUGCGGCAGCGACACUGUGUGUUGUUGGGUAGGGGAGCGUUCUGUAAGCCUGCGAAGGUGGCCUGUGAGGGUUGCUGGAGGUAUCAGAAGUGCGAAUGCUGACAUAAGUAACGAUAAAGCGGGUGAAAAGCCCGCUCGCCGGAAGACCAAGGGUUCCUGUCCAACGUUAAUCGGGGCAGGGUGAGUCGACCCCUAAGGCGAGGCCGAAAGGCGUAGUCGAUGGGAAACGGGUUAAUAUUCCCGUACUUGGUGUUACUGCGAAGGGGGGACGGAGAAGGCUAUGUUGGCCGGGCGACGGUUGUCCCGGUUUAAGCGUGUAGGUGUGUGUUCCAGGUAAAUCCGGUUCACUUUAACACUGAGGCGUGACGACGAGGCACUACGGUGCUGAAGCAACAAAUGCCCUGCUUCCAGGAAAAGCCUCUAAGCAUCAGGUAACAUCAAAUCGUACCCCAAACCGACACAGGUGGUCAGGUAGAGA